rnacentral:lncRNA from 10 species
CUGGGAAACACCUACUCUAGGCUUUUGGUGUUUCUUUUCCUGCAGAGGGUGCUUCACUAGAACAACUUUUCUGAUUUUUUAUUCCUUUGCAUACUCCUCUCUAGGAGAAGUGAAGUGGCUUAUGUUUUUCAUCAGUUUCAAAGCCCCCUCUUCUCAUAUUUUCUCCCCUCUUUGGGACCCAGCUGCCAAGGAACAGGCUUUGUGUCCCAUCCCCCAUGCGUUCCUUUGCCUGCAUUAAGCAUUCAGAAGUCAAGAAAAGAAGAGUGUGGUUUCUUGGGCUGCUUCAGAAGCCAAAAUUAAGAAUGCAGUAGUGAAAAUGUGACUAUGAUCAUCUCAGAGCACUGUGUGGAUAAAAUGGCUAUCAAAGUAAAAAUUCCUAUUUACCAUACUGAAGACUUCUGACUCUUGAGGCAAAAGGAAUUCUGAGGGCAUAAAUGGGAGACCUUCUAUUUUAUAGAAGUUUUGGAUUCUGCAAGUUCCAGGCUCAAUACUGGUGUGGGACCACUUAGCUCCUUUCAAUGAAUUUAUGAUUAAGCAAGAGUUUCAAGUUCUGCCUCAAUCUUGCCAGAGCCCUAAGGCAUAGUCCCUGGAUGACAGAGCUGAUGAAGACAUCUGCCUCAAGGGCUACUUCUGGGCAUCCUGUGAGUCAAGAUGCUGAGACAUACAGUUUCACUUAUUUUUGACAUCCUGAAGGCAACUGGAUGUUUCAAGUUCAGAUGAUGAGAAAGGUCUCCAUAAAAUUCAAGCUUUGGGGUAUGAAAACAGUGUUCAAAUAAAGCUGCUAGAGGUGCUUUCAAACACUGCCAAAAACGAAGAUGACAUGAUGAUAAUCUAAUAGACUUGGAGCCAGCAUCUGACA